GAGGGUGUAGCUCAGUGGUAGAGCACAUGCUUAGCAUGCACGAGGUCCUGGGUCCAAUCUCCAGUACCUCCA
rnacentral:tRNA from 1 species